rnacentral:rRNA from 1 species
GGGGUAAAAGGGAGACUACUUUGGAGGGUCCGGUGAGGAAGAGAAAGGGGGUAGGGGCGGUCAGGCGGUGGUGCGCGGUUAGGGCGGCAGCGGGCAGCUAGGCCGCGCGUCAAGGUGGGAGCAGAGAGAGGGAUCAGGUUAGACCGUCGGGAGCCGGUACUGCGACGCUCGAGACCGGCCGAACUGGAGCAGCCGAGCAGCGGGGGUAAGUUAUCCACGACCUCCGGCGAGGAGCCCUGGCGCCGCCAGAAGAAGUACCCGAGAGAGAGGGAAGUGGAGGAUGCGGUACAUAGUCGGGGAAGGACUUUGAGGAGGAGUAGGCACACGGGGAGACUACAGCGGCUCACCUGGUGCGGGUGUGGGCGGAGGUGGGUGGACAUGGUCCGGUGUAGUCUAAAACUUCCGCCGAAAGUUUCCCCCACUCUACUACGAGCAGUUCUGAUCGACUUUUCCUUACCCUCUGUCAUGACUUCUUAGUACUAGAUACCGUUCCCACUACUACAGAUACCGCUACUAACAAUACUAGAUAAACCGCUGCUCGUAAUACUAGGUAUACCACUACUUCCCACUGCUCAGAUCACUAGAAAGAAGUUCUGCAAGUUGUUUCACUUUAGUA